GCCGAAGUGGUGGAAAUGGCAGACACGCGGUGUUCAGGGCGCCGUAGGCGGAACGCCUGUGUGGGUUCAAAUCCCACCUUCGGCACCA
rnacentral:tRNA from 1 species